AGUUCUUCUUAGAGAAUAGGAAAUAAAGGGCUCAGAGGGGACACAGCCUCUCUCCAUGAGUACUGUAUUGUAGGAGCUGGGAAGAGCCGCAGCUGAUAACCAGUUCUCCUGGAACAAUGGUUUAGGGAAGGAAAGGUUUUGAGAUCUUACCCUCUGAAAAGAUUUGUGCCACACCCAUGGAUCAGGCCAUCAAGUCACAGAACUCCUGCAUCAGCAGCUCGAGCUGGACAGCCCCUGUGUGUGCUUAUGCAUCACUAGACAUGCAGGAGGUAGUUGGAUUGCCAGGUAACUGGGUAAAUGGCUCUCAGGCCUGCCUGGAGUAUCUUCACAGUGGAAUUAGAGCUAGGUCCAAGUUUCUGUCAUAACAGUGCUGUCCCCACCACACAUAGCCAUUCCCAUUUUGUUAAAGCAGCCACUGGUCUCUUGCCCAAAUGGGUAAUGACUCCCUGAAGAGGGCAGAGACCAUGGCACCCAUUCAGCUCCUUCUGCAUACUUUUAUUAGAAAUAGACUAGUUAAGAAAAUUGUUUCUAUGUACUGUAUAUUUUGUACCUGUUUACACUUCUAAUAUUGAUAUAACUGAUAUUUUGAAAAACAAAUGAACAGAAGACAUCCUGUUAAAAUAAAAUCUAACCAGCACC
rnacentral:lncRNA from 1 species